GAAGCCAGAAGCCCAAAAUUUCCCCCUCCUUCACCGGAUUCACUUUCGAUUUCCUCCGGCUGCGCGCUGAAAUACAAACUCGCUCCCUGCAGGUUCCAUAUAAAAGGGGCGGGAAGGAGGCGCCGCAGCUACAUUCGCCACUCGGCUCUUCCGCGCGCAGGGUUCUCUGCAUCACCUGGGAAGGAAGACCAAGAGUUACCAAUGGAUUCUCUACUUGGUGCUGUAAUUGGCCUGGGGACGGCAGCGGUGGCUGUCCCGGCCGCAGUUGGACUUCUGGGCUUCAGUAGUGCAGGAAUUGUGGUUGGUUCAAUUGGCGCCAAGAUGAUGUCUGCUGCCGCCAUUGCGAAUGGAGGCGGAGUGGCUGCUGGGGGUUUGGUUGCCACCCUGCAGUCCAUUGGGGCUGCAGGGGUGCCGACUGCUGUGACAGCAGCAACAACUGCCACAGGAGCAGUGCUGGGAGCCUUAAAGGACGUUUGCGGUUGAGGGACCAGAGAACAUCCCCCCCCUCUUCUCCAGAGGCCUGUCAAAGGCCUCUGAAGGAAAACCUGCUUGCAGUGGAAAUGGCUGGAUCUUCAUAGAGUGCUUGAAUGAUUAGUUUAGCCUGCUUUCUUGUGGACUUGUUCCACUGUUUGUCUUGUUCUAAUAAAAAUUCCUUAUAACUUUUCUGUGCCUCAGUUUAUAUGAAAUGUAACAGGAUGUCCACCUUGGUGGGUUUCCAUUCCUCAAGUUCACAAUUGCCUCUUUUCCAGCCCCAAGCCUCUCUUCUGAAGCUCAAAGCACUACAGAUGUGCAAGGUAAAAAGUAAAAACUUUUUCCCAAUCUCAUGGGAUCCAUUGGCCAGGUUUUCUCCCUUGUUGCUGCUGGACAUGGGCAAAAUAAAACUCUUUUCUAAAC
rnacentral:lncRNA from 1 species